CCUUCAGUUCCGUAUGGUUUAUGAAUUUGGUAUCAGCCUCAUAAAGAAUGUUUUGUUAUCCUUCGCCACUUCUUCAACCUCGCCGUCUCUCUAAACUCUGUUUGCAAACACAAAGUUUUUUUUCUAUCACGAUGUUAAGUAGUAGAGACCACCCCCUCCCUCCGCUUCCUUCCCUCCUUCCUCCAACGACGACCUCGAGAGCAUCUCCGCGGCGCGCGGAGCCAAUUCCGACUCAGACCCCAAGGUAUCAGAGGACGCCGUCAUGUACGACGACAAGGAAGACUUCUCUCCCGAACCUGAUCAGGACUCUUCGAUCCGCACAUUCACUGCCGCUAAACUCGAUCCCAGCUCCGGAGCCAACGGUUCGAGUCGGAACACUAAGAUCAAGACGGAGAUCUCGACGGUGAAGCUUGAGGCUGGCGUGAGCUCAGUCUCGGGGAUUGUGCCGAAGGAUGAGUCUGCUAAGAUAUCGACAGAUGAUACACAGACAAGGGGGGGUGGGCUUACAUUGCGAGAGAAGAGGCUUUGAAGAGAGAGGAAACAUAAGUCAGCU